rnacentral:rRNA from 1 species
UACGGAGGGUGCAAGCGUUGUUCGGAAUCACUGGGCGUAAAGCGCGUGUAGGCGGCCUUCUCAGUCUGAUGUGAAAGCCCGGGGCUCACCCCCGGAAGUGCAUUGGAUACUGGAAGGCUGGAGUACCGGAGAGGAGGGUGGAAUUCCUGGUGUAGCGGUGAAAUGCGCAGAUAUCAGGAAGAACACCCGUGGCGAAGGCGGUUCUCUGGGACGGUACUGACGCUGAGACGCGAAAGCGUGGGGAGCGAACAGG